UACGGAGGGUGCGAGCGUUGUCCGGAAUCACUGGGCGUAAAGGGCGCGUAGGCGGCUCAUGAAGGCUGUGGUGAAAGUCCGGGGCUCAACCUCGGAUCGGCCGUGGCGACUCGUGGGCUGGAGCACUGUAGAGGCGGGUGGAAUUCCUGGUGUAGCGGUGGAAUGCGCAGAUAUCAGGAGGAACACCGAUGGCGAAGGCAGAUCUCUGGGCCGUAACUGACGCUGAGGAGCGAAAGCAUGGGGAGCGAACAGG
rnacentral:rRNA from 1 species